GCCCUGGUGGUGCAAUGGCUAAGUGCUUGACUGCUAACCAAAAGGUUGGUGGUUUGAAUCCACCCAGUGGCU
rnacentral:tRNA from 1 species